ACAGAAUGAAUUGCUGCCUGUAAAGUAAUGUGCCAUGACACCCAAAAUGAAGGGAACGGUAACGCAAAGUAAUGACUCAAAGGCUGCCACCAAGAGCUUUUGUCUUCCUUUAACACAUUGUGGAAACUGAGGUAGAAAGAAGUUAAAUGGUGUGCCUAAGGAGAAAUGGAGGAAGAGGCGAAGUUGGACAUUCCAAAGAUGGCAUAGAUGAACAUGACCAGGAAGAGCAGGAGGCCGAUGUUAAACAAUGCAGGAAGGGACAUCAUCAGCGCAAAGAGCAGCGUGCGGAUCCCCUUGGCCCCUUUGAUCAGACGUAGGAUUCGGCCAAUCCUGGCCAGACGGAUCACUCGGAACAAGGUUCCCAAUGACCAUGACCAUCAUGAAGACAGUAAGGCACAUGGCUUGACCGGCGACCUCCAUGCAGUCCCACAUGGUCUCUAUCCACUCUCCACACAGCACGCGGAACACAAUCAGGAAAGAGUGAAAGAAG